rnacentral:lncRNA from 1 species
UUUCAGUCUCUCUUCUCGUCUUUGACAAUCCCAAUCCCCAAAAUCAAAAAAUGGUUUCUUCAAUCUCAGAAAACCUAACCAACGACCAAUACGUUUACCUCGCAAAACUCGCCGAACAAGCCGAACGCUACGAAGAGAUGGUUCAAUUCAUGCAGAAGCUCGUAACCUCUUCCACCUCCGAACUCACCGUUGAAGAACGCAACCUUCUCUCCGUCGCGUACAAGAACGUUAUCGGUUCCCUCCGUGCCGCGUGGCGCAUCGUAUCUUCAAUUGAAAUGAAGGAAGAGGGUCGCAAGAACGAUGAACAUGUUGUGCUUGUUAAGGAUUAUAGAUCUAAGGUGGAGAAUGAGCUUUCUAAUGUUUGUGAUAGUAUUCUUAAGCUUCUUGAUGAUAAUCUUAUUCCUUCUGCGACUUUGAGUGAGUCGCAAGUGUUUUAUUUGAAGAUGAAGGGUGAUUAUCAUCGUUAUUUAGCUGAGUUUAAGAUUGGGCAUGAGAAAAAAUCUGCUGCUGAAGAAACCUUUUUUUCUUAUAAGGCUGCACAGGUUCUCUUUUACUCAUAAUUGCUUUAAAUUUUCAAUUUUUUACUUGUUUAGAUUGGGAUUUAAGUUCUGUUUGUUUAGCCUUGGAAAAAAUUGAUUUUGAAAAUGUGAUUUACUUUUAAUUGAUGUUUAUAGAAGUUAGAUGGAUUUGGUUAAAUUUAAAUAUAUAAAAAAAAUCAAUUUUUACUUGAGAAGACCUGCUUCUCAAAAUAAUCAACAAAUCUAAUUAUUUUGAUAUGCUGCUUAUUCAAAAAAAUGUUACCUGAACAUAAGUCAUGUCUUGUAAAAAAUAUUAAAUUAGUUAAGAAAUUAGACAAAAUUUUAAUGUUCUGAUUUUGGGUUGUUUUUAAUUUUUUUCCCAUAGGAUAUUGCUCAAGUUAAUCUUCCACCCACACAUCCAAUUAGAUUGGGUUUGGCUCUGAACUUCUCUGUGUUCUACUAUGAAAUUCUCAACCAGUCUGAUAAGGCAUGUGGGAUGGCUAAACAGGUAUGCAUGGUUUAUGAAUUUCAAUUGGAGAGAUAAUCUGGCUUGUGUUAUUUGAUUUGAGCUGUAGAAGUUUGUCAAGUUUUGUUCUGCUAUAAUCUGUCCAGAAUUGCAUGAUUUAUUGAUAUAUGAAUUUCAAAUCUGAUUUAUUGUAAUGGCAUGAUUUGUACUUGCGCCGAGAAUGAUUUAUUGGAAUCUUAUAAAAGUAAGAGGCCCUGGUUCUGUUUGAGUUGGGUAUAUGGUCCUGUACCUAAGGAGAAGAUUGUUGAAAACUAGGAAUUUUGUUAAUUUCUCUAGUUUGGUUUGCUUUAGAAUCUGUUUUCUCCAAAUAUUGUGAAGUUUUAAGGAUCCAGUGUAACAUAACUUUUAUUCCACUCUGACCACAAACAGAAAUAAGGUUAACAUGGAUAGUAGUUCUUACUUAUGUGUGUGUACCCAUGAUAGUUGGGCCAAUGAAUUACAAUAACAUAGAAGUUUGACUUUCACAUUCGGGUUGUUUGCAGUUUCACAGGUGAGGCUAAGGUUAUUCUGAGGGAACUUAUAGUUUCUGAAAGUGAUUGUGUUCAGUGUGAAUUAUGGUACUACAUUGAAUGAAUUUGUACUAGUACCGAGUAUUUUUAACAUGAAGCUUGGUAAUUUUUUCACUUCAAUUGGACUAUUGACAAAAGGGGAAGUUGCAUACAGAAGCAAGUUAACAAAAAUACUUUCGCUUUGUUUCAACAGAACUAUUUUUUAGAAAUAAAAUGUUACUAUUUAUUUACAAUGAUGUUAUUAUGCUUUCCCUGUACCAAACUCCCGAAACUUUAACUCAAAAAUUAAAAAUUCCCCCCACAAAAGAAGUAUACUUCAAUUUGUCUAUAAAUUAAAACCAGUCAUAUCUUGCUGCAACCCUCAUAUAAGUCACAUGAUUCCAUGUUUUCUUGUGUUCCAUUCAUGCUUGGCUUCUAUUUUACCGAGUACUGCCGUAGGAGCAUAGUCUUAUUGAUCCUAAAAAUUUACUGAACCUUAGUCUUUCCAAUUUUUAAAGGCUUUUGAGGAAGCAAUUGCUGAGCUGGACACCCUGGGAGAAGAAUCCUACAAAGACAGCACUCUCAUAAUGCAACUUUUGAGAGACAACCUCACUCUUUGGACUUCUGAUGUUCAGGUAAAUAUUACUAUAACCGAACCCCACACCCAUUAUAGAAUAUUCUUCUGUAAAAACAGUUUGAUCAAUCUCUAUUUCCUAAUGCUAAGUUAAGCUAUAUUUGAUUCCCUGCAGGACCAACUAGAUGAGCCUUGAUAUUGAUUUGAGGGGUCAUAUUCUUCCUCUGAAGGAGGUGGGCUUUGAAUGUCAUUUCUUUGUGCUGAUUAAGAAUUGCCCUAGUUUAUAUAAGAUUAUUGACAAUCUGUGAUUAUAAUGUUUUGUGAACAGAAGAAGACCAAACCAAGUUUUUUAUUGUGUUAUGUGAUUUGGAAUGGAUUUUGUAUAAUGUGAGAUCCAAUCAAUUAUAUUUGGUGCAUUAUUAUUCUCACAUGGAAGUAGCAUCAUUCAUAUAUCAAUUGUGAUGAUAGUGCAUGAUGCUGACAUAUAUAUAUAACUUUUUCCAAUAUAAAUAUCUAAUUUGUUUGUUACAUAUCAAACACCAAUUUCUGAAAGUGUCCAAAAAAACACUAGAUUUGUAGGACUGGCUUUUCAAUACAAUUUGGCCCAAUGUUGAAGGUACCAAUAUUUUUUUGUUCUACUAAUUGAAAGAUAUUUCCCUUCUCAAUCUGUCAAAAGAUCUGUGUUGAAGUAGUGAGUAUAUGAUAUACUUACAUGAGUUAAUAAAGAAGCAGUCCUAUACAUGCUGAUGCUGCACUUUACUCCUCUAGUGAUAGCAAUAAUAUACUAAACAAUAACUUUACCGUUCACUGUUGUGCUCGUGCGUGCGGCCGGAAGGUUUCUCAAACAUGCAAAUUUCACACCAUGUUUCAACUUUUGUCAGCAAAUCCAAAUGAGUAAAAUUAUACUCAUUUUAGUUUUGUUGGUUGUUUUUUUGUUGGUACCAGCAUUUGAACAUGGGUCUGAUUGAUAUAAUUUCAAAGCAUCAAAGAGACCCAAAAUGCUAGUAAAUUAUACUCGUUUGAUAAUUUGGAAAUUCUUUUCAUUUCCUUCUUUAUAUUUCUUAUUAAUUUCACUCACCAAUUGGUUAGAAGAAAGAUAUGGGGUAUAAAAAUGGAGUUAGGAUCAUCUCCAUUAAUGGAGAGACAAGUAUACCUAAAACAUGAGUAAAAAGGUAAUAUGACUUAACAUUUUUAUCCUUAAGAUAUAAUGAAAUAACAUUUUUACCCUUACAUGUAAGUAUAAAAGUGAUCACUUACCUCUCCAUUAAUGGAGAGUAUCCUAACUCAUAAAAAUGAAGCCUAAUGAGUAUCUAUAGGGACCUAAACAAAUUAUCUUUUCGUUCUAUAGUAUGAACUUUAAGGAGUAUGAAGUUUCAUUUUUUAUUUGAUAUAAGUAAGUCGAUAAAGAAUCCAUUUAACUUCAUUUGUUCCAUGCCAAAAGCAUACCUACAUCACGAUAACCCUUCUUUGAAAAACUUUAGAGUGCUCUAGUUUUUGGAUAACAAAUGGACCUCCCGACAAUUUUAAUGUAGCUGAUUUCUCCUCGUUUAGUUAGGGUACAUGCUCUCUAGCUAAGGAUGUGUUAGGAAAGUUAAUAAAGGAUAUUAGAAGAACGUAUGUAUCUCAUUGACCAAAUAGUUGCAACGCUCUGUACAAUUUGAAACUACAUUGUAAUGUUACUUUUGGGUUUGAGAAACGUUUUAAAAAUUGGAAAUCGGUAAUUGUGAUUUAUUACAUUUAACGAAAUUGAAGGAAUUUAUUUUGGUAAAAAGCAAUGCGCUGACAUAUUAAUAUUUAUAGUUUUACACAGUACAAAGUGGAGAAAUUGGUGGCCAUCUUAAAUUCUUACUUAAAAUAAAAACAUGUUUACAUAAAAUAUAAGAUUUUCAUGAUAUUUUUGUAAGAGUUUAAUAUUUAAAUAUUCUUUUUGCAAAUAUUGUUACAUAAUUGAUACACCAUUCAUUACUAAUAUAUAUAUUAUUUGUAAUUAAUUUUAUUUAAAAGUCAUUAAGAAUUAAAAUAUAUAUGAAUGACAAGUGAUAUUCUUUUGGUACUGCCAAAUGUAUAAAUCAUUAAUUCAUUUUGAGGUUUGUGGCUAUCCCCUCUUAACAAGUGUUGUUCUCAGAAAAAAAUUAGAAAAUUAAUAAUACUUUUGACAAAAAGAUAUCAUUACUCUAUAUAUAUUUGAAUAGAUACACCAGUAACAAUGUUAAAUGUAACACGUUAAGGAGUCAUCUCCCUUUGCUGGUUAUGUGGAGACAUAACAAUUAGAUAAAUGCAUUUAUGUUUUUUAGUAUUAUAAUUUAAUGCUAAAUUUUAAUUAAGUGAUGAUUUUAAUGUGUUAUUUCUAUAUAAAUAUGUCUUCGUACAAGUUUUUUUCGAUAACAUUAUAGCAUGUAAGUUACGAAAUGACAAAGGGCAUCACUUAUGAAGGUGACACGUGGGACAAGUUACACAACAACAUGUGGUUUAGAAUAGUUGGCUCAUUUCUAAUUUCAACUAAUCCUCAAUUUGUCACUAAUUGUGAUGAAGAUGAGAAGGUCAUAAAAGUCCUAUCUGUCCAACUCAUGGAUGGUCACAAAUACAGCUCAAUCCUACACAUUACAUACCUUUAUUUAUAUUUUCACAUAUUAUUAUAUACUCCAAAAAUAUUAUUCUACACCUCACUCAACUUAUAAAUCUCCCAAAAAACUUAUUAUAAAAGGUUUAAUUAUUCAACUUAAAAAUAAUUCAAAUAAAUCUCUAAACUGUUUAAAAGUUAAAAUAGAUUUAUCUUUCUUUUUUGAAAUUUUUAUAAUUGUAAAUACAAAUACAGAAAUUAUUUAUAAAGUUCCCUCAAAAAUCAUUAUAAAAGGUUAAUUAUUAUAUACCUUCAAAAUACUUCAAAUAAGUCUCUAAAAUUUAAAAAUUCAAAUGAAUUUCAUAUAUUUCAUUUCGAAAAAUUAGAAUACUUUUUUUUUUUGUUUAGAAUACUUAUAUUAUUUCUUGUUUUUAUUACAAUGUUUAAUAAUUUAAAGAGAGAGUUGUGACUAAUGUAUUAAUGAAUACUUAGGAUUAUAUAGUUUUUUUUAAUAUGUUAAAAACAAAAUGAAAGUGAAAAUUACAUAUUACAAAUAUACGACCAAAUUUAAAUAAAUAAACAAAUCUCAAUGUAUAAUUUCUAGUGCUGCCAAUAGUAUUUUUCACAUUUUUACGUAAGGAACUAAUUGAUUCUUCCAACAACUGCUGCUUCUAAGAAUCGAAUCUUCAACAACUGCUGCUUCCAAGAGUCGAAUCUUCAACAACCUUGAGAUGAAGUACAAUGAGAUCUUACAUCAUGAAACCAAUUAGUUCUAUAUGCAUCUUUGAAUUAUAAUCAUAUAUUACCAUUUUUAAUUGAAAAACUAUUUAAAUUUCCUAAUAAACUAUAUUCUCAUACAUUAGUAUAACCGAAUAAAGGGGCGCAUAUAUGCUGUUACACAUUUAGUAUUAUUAUAUGUAAUAUGACUUUAUGAUUUAUCAAAAAAUUUCUUAAAAAUUAAAUUAUAACUUAAAUAUAUUUUUUUAUACAAUCACAUAUGCUGCCAUGUGAUUGUUUGUUUUCAUUCAUUAAAAUAUGAUAAGAUAGAUUUAUUAUGGAGGGCAACGAUUUAAAUUUCCAUUAUAUUUUUUACUUUAUAUAUUUUGAUUUGCACUUAUAAUUUUAUCAUAUAUUUUAUGUAUUUUUAUUAUUUUAUACGCGUAUCCCCUGAACGUAUCGUAUCCUGUAUUUUGGAAAGAAAAAAAUACGUAUCGACGUAUCAGAUACGUAUCAUACCCGACAUAGGUAUCACUAAUAAACCUCACCCACCAUAAAAACACGCAGUCUCUCUUUCAGUCUCUCUUCUCGUCUUUGACAAUCCCAAUCCCCAAAAUCAAAAAAUGGUUUCUUCAAUCUCAGAAAACCUAACCAACGACCAAUACGUUUACCUCGCAAAACUCGCCGAACAAGCCGAACGCUACGAAGAGAUGGUUCAAUUCAUGCAGAAGCUCGUAACCUCUUCCACCUCCGAACUCACCGUUGAAGAACGCAACCUUCUCUCCGUCGCGUACAAGAACGUUAUCGGUUCCCUCCGUGCCGCGUGGCGCAUCGUAUCUUCAAUUGAAAUGAAGGAAGAGGGUCGCAAGAACGAU